rnacentral:rRNA from 1 species
UACGGAGGGGGCUAGCGUUGUUCGGAAUUACUGGGCGUAAAGGGCGCGUAGGCGGUUCGCUAAGUUGGAUGUGAAAACUCUGGGCUCAACCCAGAGCCUGCAUCCAAAACUGGCGGGCUAGAGUUCUGGAGGGGGUAGCGGAAUUCCUGGUGUAGCGGUGAAAUGCGUAGAUAUCAGGAGGAACACCGGUGGCGAAGGCGGCUACCUGGACAGAAACUGACGCUGAGGCGCGAAAGCUAGGGGAGCAAACAGG